CUGGGCUGAGGUUCGCUUAGGC
rnacentral:miRNA from 1 species